AUGCCGGUGAUGGUUCGAGGCUAUGUCCCCGAGCAUGUCUGGCGAGUGCUUGCCGAGCUAAGCCAUUUCUUCCGCACGCUCUGUGCUAAAGAAGUAAGUAAAGACGUGAUUGAAAAAUUGCAUAAGAAGGCACCGGAGUUGAUAGUCAAGCUAGAGAAGAUCUUUCUGCCAGGCUUCUUUACACUGAUGACACAUCUCAUUCUGCACCUCGCAAACGAGGUAUUGUUGGGGGGGGGGGCUGUGCAGAAUCGCUGGCAGUACGGCCCUGAGAGACAGAACAAGCAUCUCCGACAGAAAUGUGGAAACAAAGCUAAGAUUGAAGCUUCCAUAGCUGAGGCAGUUAUCCUAGAGGAGGUGUCAGACCUCAGGACAUCAUACUAUCCAGACCAUGUUCCCCAUCUGCAUAACAAGGUGCCUCGAUACAAUAUAGAAGAGCCGAAGUAUCAACCCAGGCUCCAUCUAUUCAACGCGCAAGGUGGGAGGGCUGGGGCCUCGAAACCUUAUAACAUGCCACGACAAGAGUGGGAGGACCUCAUGUUCUAUAUCUUGCACAACAUCAGGGAAGUUGAGGAAGUGUGGAUAAGAGGAAUGGACGGGAAUGAAUCCUCCUACUGA
rnacentral:rRNA from 1 species